rnacentral:rRNA from 1 species
UACGUAGGGACCAAGCGUUGUCCGGAAUCAUUGGGCGUAAAGAGCGUGUAGGCGGCCAUACAGGUCAGCUGUGAAAACUCGAGGCUCAACCUCGAGACGUCGGUUGAAACCGUAUGGCUAGAGUCCGGAAGAGGAGAGUGGAAUUCCCGGUGUAGCGGUGAAAUGCGCAGAUAUCGGGAAGAACACCCGUGGCGAAGGCGGCUCUCUGGGACGGUACUGACGCUGAGACGCGAAAGCGUGGGGAGCGAACAGG